UUUUCCAACCAUUCUUUCCAGGUUGACCUCGGAUCAGGUAGGGAUACCCGCUGAACUUAAGCAUAUCAAUAAGCGGAGGAA
rnacentral:rRNA from 1 species